rnacentral:rRNA from 1 species
UCCGUAGGCGGUUUAAUAAGUCAGUGGUGAAAUCUGGUCGCUCAACGAUCAAACGGCCAUUGAUACUGUUAGACUUGAAUUACUGGGAAGUAACUAGAAUAUGUAGUGUAGCGGUGAAAUGCUUAGAUAUUACAUGGAAUACCAAUUGCGAAGGCAGGUUACUACCAGUGGAUUGACGCUGAUGGACGAAAGCGUGGGGAGCGAACAGGAUUAGAUACCCUGGUAGUCC